rnacentral:rRNA from 1 species
GCUUACGGCCAUACCACCCUGAACACUCCCGAUCUCGUCUGAUCCUCGGCAGCAAACCAAGGGUCGGGCCUGGUCAGUACUUGGAUUGGAGACAUCCUGGGAAUACCAGGUGCUGUAAGCU